AACGAACGCUGGCGGCAUGCCUAACACAUGCAAGUCGAACGAGACCUUCGGGUCUAGUGGCGCACGGGUGCGUAACGCGUGGGAACCUGCCCUUAGGUUCGGAAUAACUCCCCGAAAGGGGUGCUAAUACCGGAUAAUGUCUUCGGACCAAAGAUUUAUCGCCUUUGGAUGGGCCCGCGUUGGAUUAGCUAGUUGGUAGGGUAAAAGCAUACCAAGGCGACGAUCCAUAGCUGGUCUGAGAGGAUGAUCAGCCACACUGGGACUGAGGCACGGCCCAGACUCCUACGGGAGGCAGCAGUGGGGAAUAUUGGACAAUGGGCGAAAGCCUGAUCCAGCAAUGCCGCGUGAGUGAUGAAGGCCUUAGGGUUGUAAAGCUCUUUUACCCGGGAUGAUAAUGACAGUACCGGGAGAAUAAGCUCCGGCUAACUCCGUG
rnacentral:rRNA from 1 species